UACGACGGGUGCAACCGUUGCUCGGAAUUACUGGGCGUAAAGGGCUCGUAGGCGGCCAACUAAGUCAGACGUGAAAUCCCUCGGCUUAACCGGGGAACUGCGUCUGAUACUGGAUGGCUUGAGGUUGGGAGAGGGAUGCGGAAUUCCAGGUGUAGCGGUGAAAUGCGUAGAUAUCUGGAGGAACACCGGUGGCGAAGGCGGCAUCCUGGACCAAUUCUGACGCUGAGUGAGCGAAAGCCAGGGGAGCAAACGGG
rnacentral:rRNA from 1 species